rnacentral:rRNA from 1 species
GGGACGAACGCUGGCGGCACGCUUAACACAUGCAAGUCGAACGGAGUUGAGGAGCUUGCUUUUAAACUUAGUGGCGGACGGGUGAGUAACACGUGAGCAAUCUGCCUUCAGAGGGGGAUAGCAGUUGGAAACGACUGAUAAUACCGCAUAACAUAGCGAAACCGCAUGAUUUUUGCUAUCAAAGAUUUAUCGCUGAAAGAUGAGCUCGCGUCUGAUUAGGUAGUUGGUGAGGUAACGGCUCACCAAGCCGACGAUCAGUAGCCGGACUGAGAGGUUGAACGGCCACAUUGGGACUGAGACACGGCCCAGACUCCUACGGGAGGCAGCAGUGGGGAAUAUUGCACAAUGGGCGCAAGCCUGAAUGCAGCGAUGCCGCGUGAGGGAAGAAGGUUUUAGGAUUGUAAACCUCUGUCCUAUGGAAAGAUAAUGACGGUACCAUAGGAGGAAGCUCCGGCUAACUACGUGCCAGCCGCCGC